CUACACGACCGUACCGCAAACCGACACUGGUGCGCGAGAUGAGUAUUCUAAGGCGCUUGAGAGAACUCAGGAGAAGGAACUCGGCAAAUUGACACCGUAACUUCGGAAGAAGGUGUGCCCUAUUAGUGUGAAGUGAACAACGGAGCAUGAAUGGGUUGCAAAAAAUCGGUGGCUGCGACUGUUUAUUAAAAACACAGCACUCUGCAAACACGAAAGUGGACGUAUAGGGUGUGACGCCUGCCCGGUGCUGGAAGAUUAAAUGAUGGGGUGCAAGCUCUUGAUUGAAGUCCCAGUAAACGGCGGCCGUAACAAUAACGGUCCUAAGGUAGCGAAAUUCCUUGUCGGGUAAGUUCCGACCUGCACGAAUGGCGUAACGAUGGCCACACUGUCUCCUCCUGAGACUCAGCGAAGUUGAAAUGUUUGUGAUGAUGCAAUCUCCCCGCGGAAAGACGGAAAGACCCCAUGAACCUUUACUGUAGCUUUGUAUUGGACUUUGAACAGAUCUGUGUAGGAUAGGUGGGAGGCUUUGAAGCCAGGACGCUAGUUCUGGUGGAGCCAACGUUGAAAUACCACCCUGGUGUGUUUGAGGUUCUAACCUAGGUCCAUUAUCUGGAUCGGGGACAGUGCAUGGUAGGCAGUUUGACUGGGGCGGUCUCCUCCCAAAGCGUAACGGAGGAGUUCGAAGGUACGCUAGUUACGGUCGGACAUCGUGACGAUAGUGCAAUGGCAUAAGCGUGCUUAACUGCGAGACUGACAAGUCGAGCAGAUGCGAAAGCAGGACAUAGUGAUCCGGUGGUUCUGUAUGGAAGGGCCAUCGCUCAACGGAUAAAAGGUACUCUGGGGAUAACAGGCUGAUACCGCCCAAGAGUUCAUAUCGACGGCGGUGUUUGGCACCUCGAUGUCGGCUCAUCUCAUCCUGGGGCUGUAGCCGGUCCCAAGGGUAUGGCUGUUCGCCAUUUAAAGAGGUACGUGAGCUGGGUUUAAAACGUCGUGAGACAGUUUGGUCCCUAUCUUCCGUGGGCGCUGCAGAUUUGAGGAAGCCUGCUCCUAGUACGAGAGGACCGGAGUGGACACACCUCUGGUGUAUCGGUUGUCACGCCAGUGGCAUUGCCGAGUAGCUAAGUGUGGAAGAGAUAACCGCUGAAAGCAUCUAAGCGGGAAACUCGUUUCAAGAUGAGAUCUGCCGGGGCCUUGAGCCCCCUGAAGAGUCGUUCAAGACCAGGACGUUGAUAGGUCAGGUGUGGAAGCGCAGUAAUGCGUUAAGCUAACUGAUACUAAUUGCUCGUGCGGCUUGACCA
rnacentral:rRNA from 1 species